GCUAUAAUGCAAGUCGAGCGAAUGACGAGGAGCUUGCUCCUCUGAUUUAGCGGCGGACGGGUGAGUAACACGUGGGUAAUCUGCCUGUAAGACGGGGAUAACUCCGGGAAACCGGGGCUAAUACCGGAUAAUAAGAAGAAACGCAUGUUUCUUUUUUGAAAGUCGGUUUCGGCUGACACUUACAGAUGAGCCCGCGGCGCAUUAGCUAGUUGGUGAGGUAACGGCUCACCAAGGCGACGAUGCGUAGCCGACCUGAGAGGGUGAUCGGCCACACUGGGACUGAGACACGGCCCAGACUCCUACGGGAGGCAGCAGUAGGGAAUCUUCGGCAAUGGGCGAAAGCCUGACCGAGCAACGCCGCGUGAGCGAUGAAGGCCUUCGGGUCGUAAAGCUCUGUUGUUAGAGAAGAACAAGUACGAGAGUAACUGCUCGUACCUUGACGGUACCUAACCAGAAAGCCACGGCUAACUACGUGCCAGCAGCCGCGGUAAUACGUAGGUGGCAAGCGUUAUCCGGAAUUAUUGGGCGUAAAGCGCGCGCAGGCGGUCUCUUAAGUCUGAUGUGAAAGCCCACGGCUCAACCGUGGAGGGUCAUUGGAAACUGGGAGACUUGAGUGCAGGAGAGAAAAGUGGAAUUCCACGUGUAGCGGUGAAAUGCGUAGAGAUGUGGAGGAACACCAGUGGCGAAGGCGGCUUUUUGGCCUGUAACUGACGCUGAGGCGCGAAAG
rnacentral:rRNA from 1 species